rnacentral:tRNA from 1 species
GGAACUGUAACUCAGGGGUAGAGUGCUGGUCUGAAAAACCAGAUGUCGUUGGUUCAAUUCCAAUCAGUUCCA